GAUGAAGAACGCAGCGAAAUGCGAUAAGUAAUGUGAAUUGCAGAAUUCAGUGAAUCAUCGAAUCUUUGAACGCACAUUGCGCCCGCCAGUAUUCUGGCGGGCAUGCCUGUUCGAGCGUCAUUACAACCCUCAGGCCCCCGGGCCUGGCGUUGGGGAUCGGCGGAGCCCCCCGUGGGCACACGCCGUCCCCCAAAUACAGUGGCGGUCCCGCCGCAGCUUCCAUCGCGUAGUAGCUAACACCUCGCGACUGGAGAGCGGCGCGGCCACGCCGUAAAACACCCAACUCUUCUGAAGUUGACCUCGAAUCAGGUAGGAAUACACGCUGAACUUAAGCAUAUCAAUAAGCGGAGGA
rnacentral:misc_RNA from 1 species